GGCGAGAGAAAGCGGUGAGGGGAGGAGGAUGGAGUGGUGGCAGCGGAUGGUGGUGCCCGUGAAGCGAGCCCUUUUCGCUCUCGCCGCCCGCAUUAAGUCCCGGAAAGACGGUGAAAUUCUUCUCUCUCUUUUUCUCCUUCUCUAUCUCUCUACCUACGGGGAUGCGGGGGCCGCGGUGCCUGCCACGUUGGGAAAUCCGGCGAUCGGCACGGCCAGCGCGCGGGUCCAUGCACGCGAUCGGAUCUCGCUGCACGCCCCCCAGCGAGAAAGGAAGUAGUGUAUGGGAGGUGGGAUUCUAAAGCUUCACAGCGACGUCCAGAGUUGCGGGUAUCGAGACAUUGAGGUGAUGUGGGAGCUCCUGCAGCGAUCAGAGCCGGAGCUCUCUAAUUCCCCAAAAAGGAAGCGACCGGUUGGAAGGGUGUCGGUGUGGUCGGGCCGGACCUUAUCCAAUUGACCCAAUGCGGCGUUGAUCCAAGCAAGCUGUAAUCCAGAAACUUGGCCGCCUGCAAUAAUUAAGCUCGCAGGAUACCCCAUUGUAUGAUCCUCCUCAAUUUUGAUAUGUACAUAGUGUUAGAUGCCCACCAUAUAAUAAUAAUAAUAAUAAUAAUAAUAAUAAUUAAGAUAAA